CAUGAAUCUGGGGAAAACAUUUCUGCGCACACACCAGACUAUUGAAACCAGUGUGUGGAAAUGCGUCUGCUGCAUUCUUA
rfam:Otolemur garnettii contig035080, whole genome shotgun sequence.